UACGUAGGUGGCAAGCGUUGUCCGGAUUUAUUGGGUUUAAAGGGUGCGUAGGCGGCUUAAUAAGUCAGUGGUGAAAGCCGAUCGCUUAACGAUCGAACUACCAUUGAUACUGCUAGGCUUGAGUAUAGAUGAGGUAGGCGGAAUUGACAGUGUAGCGGUGAAAUGCAUAGAUAUUGUCAAGAACACCAAUUGCGAAGGCAGCUUACUAAGUUAUAACUGACGCUGAGGCACGAAAGUGCGGGGAUCAAACAGGAUUAGAAACCCGAGUAGUCC
rnacentral:rRNA from 1 species